rnacentral:rRNA from 1 species
CCCUUAGAUGUUCUGGGCCGCACGCGCGCUACACUGACGGAGGCAGCGAGCGUGUCCUUCGCCGGCAGGUGCGGGCAAUCUUGCGAGUCUCCGUCGUGCUGGGGAUAGAUGGUUGCAAUUGUCGAUCUUGAACGAGGAAUUCCUAGUAAGCGCGAGUCAUCAGCCCGCGCUGAUUACGUCCCUGCCCUUUGUACACACCGCCCGUCGCUACUACAGAGUGCCCGUGUCCAAGAAACGGUCGGACCUGUGCGGCCUCUCCGGGCGACCGGAGGGCCGUUACGGGGAAGACCCUUUAUUUGACGCGGGUCGAUGAAGUAAAAGUCGUAACA